UGGGGAAUUUUGGACAAUGGGCGAAANCCUGAUCCAGCAAUGCCGCGUGUGUGAAGAAGGCCUUCGGGUUGUAAAGCACUUUUGUCCGGAAAGAAAUCCUUGGCUCUAAUACAGUCGGGGGAUGACGGUACCGGAAGAAUAAGCACCGGCUAACUACGUGCCAGCAGCCGCGGUAAUACGUAGGGUGCAAGCGUUAAUCGGAAUUACUGGGCGUAAAGCGUGCGCAGGCGGUUUGCUAAGACCGAUGUGAAAUCCCCGGGCUCAACCUGGGAACUGCAUUGGUGACUGGCAUGCUAGAGUAUGGCAGAGGGGGGUAGAAUUCCACGUGUAGCAGUGAAAUGCGUAGAGAUGUGGAGGAAUACCGAUGGCGAAGGCAGCCCCCUGGGCCAAUACUGACGCUCAUGCACGAAAAGCGUGGGGGAGCAAAACAGGAUUAGAUACCCCUGGUAGUCCACGCCCUAAACGAUGUCAACUAGUUGUUGGGGAUUCAUUUCCUUAGUAACGUAGCUAACGCGUGAAGUUGACCGCCUGGGGAGUACGGUCGCAAGAUUAAAACUUAAAUGAAUUGACGGGGUCAUAGCUGUUU
rnacentral:rRNA from 1 species